GCAUAUCAAUAAGCGGAGGAAAAGAAACCAACAGGGAUUGCCUCAGUAACGGCGAGUGAAGCGGCAACAGCUCAAAUUUGAAAUCUGGUCCUUUCAGGGCCCGAGUUGUAAUUUGUAGAAGAUGCUUCGAGCGUGGCACCGGUCUAAGUUCCUUGGAACAGGACGUCAUAGAGGGUGAGAAUCCCGUAUGCGACUGGCCGCCUUUGUUCAUGUGAAGCUCUUUCGACGAGUCGAGUUGUUUGGGAAUGCAGCUCAAAAUGGGUGGUAUAUUUCAUCUAAAGCUAAAUAUUGGCCAGAGACCGAUAGCGCACAAGUAGAGUGAUCGAAAGAUGAAAAGCACUUUGGAAAGAGAGUUAAACAGUACGUGAAAUUGUUGAAAGGGAAGCGCUUGCAACCAGACUUGCACGUUGCUGAUCAUCUGGGGUUCUCCCUAGUGCACUCGGUAACGUUCAGGCCAGCAUCGGUUUGGGUGGUUGGAUAAAGGCCUUGGGAAUGUAGCUCCUCUCGGGGAGUGUUAUAGCCCUCGGUGCAAUGCAGCCUACCCGGACCGAGGACCGCGCUUCGGCUAGGAUGCUGGCGUAAUGGUUGUAAGCGACCCGUCUUGAAACACGGACCAAGGAGUCUAACAUCUAUGCGAGUGUUUGGGUGUCAAACCCAUACGCGUAAUUAACGUGAACGGAGGUAAGAACCCUUAAGGGUGCAUUAUCGACCGAUCCUGAUGUCUUCGGAUGGAUUUGAGUAAGAGCAUAGCUGUUGGGACCCGAAAGAUGGUGAACUAUGCCUGAAUAGGGUGAAGCCAGAGGAAACUCUGGUGGAGGCUCGCAGCGGUUCUGACGUGCAAAUCGAUCGUCAAAUUUGGGUAUAGGGGCGAAAGACUAAUCGAACCAUCUAGUAGCUGGUUCCUGCCGAAGUU
rnacentral:rRNA from 1 species